rnacentral:rRNA from 1 species
UACGGAGGGGGCUAGCGUUGUUCGGAAUUACUGGGCGUAAAGCGCACGUAGGCGGCUUUGUGAGUUAGAGGUGAAAGCCCGGGGCUCAACCCCGGAAUAGCCUUUAAGACUGCAUCGCUUGAACACGGGAGAGGUGAGUGGAAUUCCGAGUGUAGAGGUGAAAUUCGUAGAUAUUCGGAAGAACACCAGUGGCGAAGGCGGCUCACUGGACCGUUGUUGACGCUGAGGUGCGAAAGCGUGGGGAGCAAACAGG